UGGGGAAAGGAUGAAUUCAUCAUGGCUCAGU
rnacentral:piRNA from 1 species